UACGGAGGGUGCAAGCGUUGUUCGGAUUUACUGGGCGUAAAGCGCGCGCAGGUGGAUGGACAAGUCGGAAGUGAAAUCUUGAGGCUCAACCUCGAGGCUGCUCCCGAAACUGUUCGGUCUAGGGACUGGUAGAGGCUGGUAGAAUUCCGGGUGUAGCGGUGGAAUGCGUAGAGAUCCGGAGGAAGACCGGUGGCGAAGGCGGCCUGCUGGGCAGUUACUGGACACUGAGGCGCGGACAGCGUGGGGAGCGAACGGG
rnacentral:rRNA from 1 species